rnacentral:rRNA from 1 species
UACGUAGGGGGCAAGCGUUGUCCGGAAUCAUUGGGCGUAAAGCGCGUGUAGGCGGCUAUCCAAGUCAGUGGUGAAAGCCCGGAGUUCAACUCCGGAACUGCCAUUGAAACUGUUUAGCUUGAGGAUGAGAGAGGUGAGUGGAAUUCCCAGUGUAGAGGUGAAAUUCGUAGAUAUUGGGAAGAACACCGGUGGCGAAGGCGGCUCACUGGCUCAUUACUGACGCUCAGGCGCGAUAGCGUGGGGAUCAAACAGG